rnacentral:rRNA from 1 species
UACGUAGGGGCAAGCGUUGUCCGGAAUCAUUGGGCGUAAAGCGCGUGUAGGCGGCCUUGUAAGUCCGUUCUGAAAGCCCGGGGCUCAACCCCGGGAGGCGGAUGGAUACUGCAAGGCUCGAGUACGGAAGAGGCGAGUGGAAUUCCCGGUGUAGCGGUGAAAUGCGCAGAUAUCAGGAGGAACACCGGUGGCGAAGGCGGAUCUCUGGGCCUGUUCUGACGCUGAGGCGCGAAAGCUAGGGGAGCGAACAGGG